rnacentral:rRNA from 1 species
AGUGAACGCUGGCGGUAGGCCUAACACAUGCAAGUCGAACGGCAGCACAGUAAGAGCUUGCUCUUACGGGUGGCGAGUGGCGGACGGGUGAGGAAUACAUCGGAAUCUACUUUUUCGUGGGGGAUAACGUAGGGAAACUUACGCUAAUACCGCAUACGGCCUACGGGUGAAAGCAGGGGAUCUUCGGACCUUGCGCGAUUGAAUGAGCCGAUGUCGGAUUAGCUAGUUGGCGGGGUAAAGGCCCACCAAGGCGACGAUCCGUAGCUGGUCUGAGAGGAUGAUCAGCCACACUGGAACUGAGACACGGUCCAGUCUCCUACGGGAGGCAGCAGUGGGGAAUAUUGGACAAUGGGCGCAAGCCUGAUCCAGCCAUACCGCGUGGGUGAAGAAGGCCUUCGGGUUGUAAAGCCCUUUUGUUGGGAAAGAAAAGCAGCAGGUUAAUACCCCGCUGUUCUGACGGUACCCAAAGAAUAAGCACCGGCUAACUUCCUG